rnacentral:rRNA from 1 species
AAGAGUACGUGAAACCGUUCAGAGGCAAACGGAUGGGACCGCAACCUCCCCCGCGGAAUUCAACCUCCGGGCCGCUCGUCCCGGCGCGCCGCCGAUCGCAAGACGGCGCGCGUCGGGAGCGGGCGCUCGGGGGCGCAUUUUUCGCGGGGGGACGCCGCGACCGGUUCGGACGCCAGUCAGAAGCCCGGCGGGAAGGUAGCCAGUCUCCGGACUGGCGUUUAGCCCGUCGGCGUGUCGCCCUGGCUCGGGACCGAGGGACGCCCGCCGGCGGCGCGGGCCCCCGCUCCUUCCGCCCGUUCGACUGGGAGGGACUGGUCUCAGUGCCUUCCGACCGCGAGCGGAUGCGGGACGGGGACUCCCCGCGUCGACACACAGGGUCUGCGGCUGCUCGGUCGGCUCCCUAUCCGACCCGUCUUGAAACACGGACCAAGGAGUCUAACAUGUGCGCGAGUCAUUGGACUUACGAAAUCUAAAGGCGCAAUGAAGGUGAAGGCCCUCCCCAAGGUGGGCCUAGGUCGGAUCCCUCCCCCUCUCGGGGCGGGGGCGCAAGACUGGCCCGUCUCAGAGGCAUCGCCCUCGAGGCGGAGCAAGAGCGCACACGUUGGGACCCGAAAGAUGGUGAACUAUGCCUGAGUAGGACGAAGCCAGAGGAAACUCUGGUGGAGGUCCGUAGCGAUUCUGACGUGCAAAUCGAUCGUCAAACCUGGGUAUAGGGGCGAAAGACUAAUUCGAACCAUCUAGUAGCUGGUUCCCU